rnacentral:rRNA from 1 species
CGUAGGUGCAAGCGUUAAUCGGAAUUACUGGCGUAAGCGUGCGCAGGCGGUUAUACAAGACAGGCGUGAAAUCCCGGGCUUAACCUGGGAAUGGCGCCUGUGACUGUAUAGCUAGAGUGUGUCAGAGGGGUAGAAUUCCACGUGUAGCAGUGAAAUGCGUAGAUAUGUGGAGGAAUACCAAUGGCGAAGGCAGCCCCCUGGGAUAACACUGACGCUCAUGCACGAAAGCGUGGGAGCAAACAGGAUU